rnacentral:tRNA from 1 species
GGCUCGGUAGCUCAGUUGGUAGAGCAAUGGAUUGAAGCUUCCAUGUGUCGGCGGUUCGAUUCCGUCUCGCGCCA